CCCUAUGAAUCUAGCGGAAACACUUCUGCACAAUCUAGAUUAUGGAUCCAGUGUGCGGAAAUGCUUCUGCUACGUUUCUAGGGC
ensembl:miRNA